rnacentral:rRNA from 1 species
GACGAACGCUGGCGGCGUGCCUAAUACAUGCAAGUCGAACGCUUCUUUCCUCCCGAGUGCUUGCACUCAAUUGGAAAGAGGAGUGGCGGACGGGUGAGUAACACGUGGGUAACCUACCCAUCAGAGGGGGAUAACACUUGGAAACAGGUGCUAAUACCGCAUAACAGUUUAUACCGCAUGGCAUAAGAGUGAAAGGCGCUUUCGGGUGUCGCUGAUGGAUGGACCCGCGGUGCAUUAGCUAGUUGGUGAGGUAACGGCUCACCAAGGCCACGAUGCAUAGCCGACCUGAGAGGGUGAUCGGCCACACUGGGACUGAGACACGGCCCAGACUCCUACGGGAGGCAGCAGUAGGGAAUCUUCGGCAAUGGACGAAAGUCUGACCGAGCAACGCCGCGUGAGUGAAGAAGGUUUUCGGAUCGUAAAACUCUGUUGUUAGAGAAGAACAAGGACGUUAGUAACUGAACGUCCCCUGACGGUAUCUAACCAGAAAGCCACGGCUAACUACGUG